rnacentral:rRNA from 1 species
ACGGGACGGCCCGCCNGAGGACCCCUAAACUCUGUUUCUAUAUGUAACUUCUGAGUAAAACCAUAAAUAAAUCAAAACUUUCAACAACGGAUCUCUUGGUUCUGGCAUCGAUGAAGAACGCAGCAAAAUGCGAUAAGUAAUGUGAAUUGCAGAAUUCAGUGAAUCAUCGAAUCUUUGAACGCACAUUGCGCCCGCCAGUAUUCUGGCGGGCAUGCCUGUUCGAGCGUCAUUUCAACCCUCAAGCACAGCUUGGUGUUGGGACUCGCGUUAAUUCGCGUUCCUCAAAUUGAUUGGCGGUCACGUCGAGCUUCCAUAGCGUAGUAGUAAAACCCUCGUUACUGGUAAUCGUCGCGGCCACGCCGUUAAACCCCAACUUCUGAAUGUUGACCUCGGAUCAGGUAGGAAUACCCGCUGAACUUAAGCAUAUCAAUAA